rnacentral:lncRNA from 1 species
ACACAACCACUCUCCCUACUUUUUUCCUUCUCAGAUUUCCGGCCACCACCGUCCACCUCCGACGUCCAAGAAAACCACGCCAACCCCGUCCCCUCUGCCGCUUUACAUCUUGAACCGCCGUCAAAUUUUCAAAGGAGAAGCAGAUCUGGUUUCGAGAUGUACAGAUCGGAACCCUAGCCCCUUUAAGAAUCGGGCCUAGUUGUGGUUCAAGAACCAGUUGUUGGUUCAAGAUCGGUAAAAAUGGGGUCGAUUCUGAAGGUGCUCGCAUUUACGACAACCAAUCUCGUCCUGGUGAUGUUGAACAUCAGAGGUGGGUGGUAAUUUGAAUGAUUUGUUCCUGUGAUCUGAAUGAUUUGAAUGAUUGAAGGUGUUGUAAGUUAUUCAUUGCUUGUUAAGAUGACUUGUUGCUGGAAUAGUUACUGGAAAGGAGAAAAAAAAUGAUUCAGUAGAAAUUGGCCGGAAAAGAGAAAAGAUUAAGAAGAUUAACCGCCGGAGUUCACGUGUUCGCCGGAGAUGACAUGUUUGCCGGAAAAGAGAAAUAGGCUUUUUUUUACAUUUUUGUAAAUCUGUUGUUAUUAAAGUAAUUUUUAAUAAAAU